rnacentral:rRNA from 1 species
GACGGAGGGUGCUAGCGUUGUUCGGAAUUACUGGGCGUAAAGGGCGCGUAGGCGGCCCUGUCAGUCGGGUGUGAAAGCCCGGGGCUCAACCCCGGAACGGCACCCGAGACGGCGGGGCUGGAGACCGGGAGAGGAGGGUGGAAUAGCCAGUGUAGAGGUGAAAAUUCGUAGAUAUUGGCUGGAACACCGGUGGCGAAAGCGGCUCUCUGGACGGCAACUGACGCUGAGGCACGAAAGCGUGGGGAGCAAACAGG